rnacentral:tRNA from 1 species
GUAUAUAUAGCUCAAUGGCAGAGUGCAUGCUUUGCAUGCAUGAAGUCCUUGGUUCAAUUCCCAAUCCUUUCA